CAUCGCCGCGUGAGUGAUGAAGGUUUUCGGAUCGUAAAACUCUGUUGUUAGGGAAGAACAAGUGUCUAGUACUGAUGGCACCUUGACGGUACCUAAACAGAAAAGCACGGCUAACUACGUGCCAGCAGACGCGGUAAUACGUAGGUGGCAAGCGUUGUCCGGAAUUAUUGGGCGUAAAGCGCUCGCAGGCGGUUCUUUAAGUCUGAUGUGAAAUCUUACGGCUUAACCGUAAACGUGCAUUGGAAACUGGGGAACUUGAGUGCAGAAGAGGAGAGUGGAAUUCCACGUGUAGCGGUGAAAUGCGUAGAGAUGUGGAGGAACACCAGUGGCGAAUGCGACUCUCUGGUCUGUAACUGACGCUGAGGAGCGAAAGCGUGGGGAGCGAACAGGAUUAGAUACCCUGGUAGUCCACGCCGUAAACGAUGAGUGCUAGGUGUAAGGGGGUUUCCGCCCCUUAGUGCUGAAGUUAACGCAUUAAGCACUCCGCCUGGGGAGUACGGCCGCAAUGCUGAAACUCAAAAGAUUUGACGGGGUGGCCGCACAAGCGGGUGGAGCAUGUGGUUAAAU
rnacentral:rRNA from 1 species